rnacentral:lncRNA from 1 species
AUGGGUGUUGUUCAAGCUGCCAUGGUGUCAGGGGUCUGUAAGAAACGAAUACCGUGGUCUGCAAGCCCCCCGACAGCCUCCCACCCUCCUCCCUGGUCCCUCACACAGCCUUGUUCUUCCUGUCAGAGCCACAGGCCUCAUACUCCCUCUGCCAGAGGCCCUUCCCCAGAACAGAGCCAGUGGAGCAGACGGCUGCCGGCUGGGCGUGUUCCAAGCCUUGGCGGAUGCUUCAGAAUAGAAGCGCCCACGCUGCUUUGCACAGUGACUGCGUGGCUCCCCAACAUGCCUGUUUUCUGGGAGUCCAGGCCCUUCCUGGAAGUGGUGGGGAGAGCGGCCUGGCGAGCUGCCCACACGGUGUGUACAGGAGGUGAGGAGACCACCUGUCCUGGGCCACAGAGCUAUGUAGAGUUCAUCAAUCUCCAGCCCCUUAGUAUUCCAGGGGCUCUAAACCACCUUCUGUAAGUCAGGAUGGAAGUAGAUGGUGCCACGAAGAUUUCUCUCUGCUGUAGCCACUCCUUCAGUGUCUCAAAAUGUUUUAACAUCUUUCAGUAAAAAUCUGUCAGUCCUUGAUAAAUUAAAAAAAAAAAAGGCAGCAAAGUUUUUAGAGCUCCCUUGAACCUUCUAUUUUAAGGCGCCUUUGUAGAUAAUUCCCAACAUUCUGUGUGUCGGUCAUCUUUGGAAUUUAUCGAUCGAUCAUUGUUUCUCUUCAAACUUGGCCUUGCCCUGCCCAUUCCAUUCUUACCCGCUUUCAUUGGCUUCACUAGUCAAUUCCACACUCAUUCUAGACACUGGGUGCACGAGACUCACUCCCGUUUGUAUUACCAAAACUCAGGCCAAUAGGAUAUAAAAAGUAGGAAGAAUACUGGGAUUUAACAUGAGUACAAAUCUCAUUUCUUCCAAUUCCUAUGUCUUCUUGAAUCCUAAUCUUUCUGAGACUCAAGUUUUCUAUCUAAACGAUCCCUUGACCAGAAUGUUCAACAGACGUGACAAUACUAGAACGUGUUUUAAUUCAUUCUAAGAUUCCUUAAAAUUCUGUAAUUCUAUGUGCUGCUGAUUCUGGGAAUACAUAGCCAGCAGAAUUUGAAAAACGAAUAGAAUUAAAGAAAUAACAAAGACAAAAAAAAAAAAAAACAGAGAAGAACGUUUUAAAAACCUCAAGACACGAUUAUAGAAAAUUCAUGGAAAAAUAAACAAGACUACCAAAAGUAUGAUGGAAGUAAGCAGAAAUACUAGCCUAAAUGAAAGCAAAACUGAGAAAUCAAAUACUUUCUAAGACUUGCCUAAACUUGCUUUUGUAAAACUUACAGUCUUGUGGCCAAAGCUAAGUAAGAUCAGCCCUAAAACUUCUGAUGGCAAAAAGAAGAUCCCGGUUCCCACUGAAAUUGUCAAAUUUAUGAUGACAGACUCUGGACUGACCACCUUCUAACGAUAACCUUAAAUGGGUGUUGAAGGUAUUUAAACUCUCAUUAAUUUAGAUGUUAAUUAAAUUAAUGAAUUUAAUUAAGCUGCUUCAGAUGUAUACCAUGUUCCAAGUGCUACAUGGAUGUCUAUCAACCUAUGCUGAGGAACAAGAGAAGGGAUUUGGAAGGCAGGCAGGCUGACAAUCAAAGUGGGUCAGCUGCUUUGUUAACUAGAGGAUCAUGAGCCAAUUAAUCCACUGCUCCAACCCAUACUCGUUUUUUAAACAAACAGUAGUUGAUAGGAACACAGAUGUCGUGAUGGCUUUAUGAGACGAUAAGUGCAAUAGGAUGUCUACCCCGAAUACAACACUCAACAGAUGUUAGUUCCUUCCACCUAUAUUUCCUUGGUUAACAUAAUUUUUUAAAUCUGUACAAUCCUACCUGACUGCAGAUUCAUCAGAACUUCCAACAUCUAUUAAAGAAACAGGCAAAAUGCAUUUUAAAUCAAUAAUAAAGGUACAGAAUAUUAAAAGCAUAAGAAGGCCCAGUGAUGCAUGCCUGUAAUCCAAACUACUCAGGAGGCUGAGGCAGGAGGAUCACUCGAGGAUCCCAGAAGUUUGAGACCAGCUUGGGAAACAAAGCAAGACUCUACCUUAGUAAGAAAAAAACUUGUGCACACCUGUGUGUAUGCUUUAGAUCCUGUUUUUGUUCUUGUUUGUUUUGUUUUGUUUUGUCUUUUAAAGCAUAAGACUGACGCUUUGUUACAAAGCAUUCCUUUGGGAGCUCACCUGGGACCUUAUUAGAAUAAACAUUAAUCAUAAUUAGUGGUAUUUAAUUAAUGCAACAAGAAAUGUUACUUCCCAGUGUAUUUACUAAAUGCAAAGCAUAAUAAAUCAGAAUGAAUUUUAUAAUGUGGUCGCUUCUAAAUUUAGCUAAGGUUGGUAUAUCAUCUGACACUGCACAGGAUUUUUAUAAAACACCUAUCAUAUCAAAGAGCUGGCUGUCUCAAACACAUUGGCCGAAGCAUCUUUACGCAACUUAAUCACAUCUUUUUCACUCAUGUCAAUGAGACUUCUCUGUCUGAGGCCUGACACUUAUGAAGUGAAAUGGGCUGCAGUGGUUUACCCCAAUUCUAGCAUCCCUCCUGCCUCCAGUACUCUCCACAGCAGUAACCUCUUUUGUGAGACUGGGCAUAUGCUGAAGCAACUAGAAAUCAGUUGUCUCAGGUUGACUUCGCUUUAACUCCCAAGACUGCAGCGAAUGUCUUUCUUUCCUCCCUCAUUCUCCUUCCACAAUCGCUCUUCCUUUGAAAAAGGAAUCUUCAGAUCUGUUGUCCCGAUGCUUCCCUUCCGAACUGCUUUUUCUAUGGAUAAUUGUAACCACUUUUUUCGUCUGUAUUCAGCAGUGGUGUCUACCCAUAAUUUCUGUUUUUUCAUCUCAUACUCUUUCCCUGUGGCUUGAAUUAUGCUCAGAAAUAAAAGGAAAUUCAUGCUUGCCCUUGAUUCUGUUGUUUUGUAAAUUGCGGUCCAAUGGUGGUUUUUCCACAUUUCUCUAAAGGAAGGCUAUUCCCUUGCUCUUCAGAGCUGUGUCUAAGGACCAGCACCACCAACAGCACCUGAGUACUCAUGAGAAAUGCAGAAUCGAUCAGAGUGUGUAUUUUCCAGAAGUUCCUCAACUGAUUCAUGAAAAUUUGAAUGGCCUGUUCUCUACCGAUGUGCUUCCGUAUUUUUUUUACCCUAGUUGCCCUUUUUGGUUUAGCCUCAGUUUCUUCCCUAUUGUAUCCCUGAAUUUAAUAGUACAUUAUAAGCCAUAGUGUUCCUCAUGAACUUUUCAUCAGGCAGGACCUUUUCUAAUUGAUUUCUUCUCCAUCCAUCACCCAACACUAUUCCUUUCAAUUAUGUUAAUUCGACCUAUAUGAUACUAUCCUGUGAGGUUACAACGUUUUCUACAAAACUAAGUUCUAGCCACACGUGGCUGACCAUUUUUGGUGAUACUCAUCUGUGGUAAAUGUGUGGUAAAGUACCUCAAUCCUUAAUGCCUCCCCAGGAGUGAGGAUGACAGCAAGAGGAGGAACAUGUCACUCUCAUUCUCUGACACGUUUUCCUAUUGGAAGCUCCCUUUAUCUCCCUUCCUAUUUCUAACACCCUGUUCUUCCUUCUUCUACCGAACAGUUUGACUUUACUAUCCUCCAUUACAUACACCCACAUUUUUUUUUUUUUUAUUGAUUCCAUGUACACUCCUCCGCCCUCCUCAUGCUUUCUUUCUGUUUUAUUCAUUUCCUCUCCCCUCUUUAUUGACUUGCCUCAGGUCUUAGAGUAUCUUAAAAUGGAACUCAUAACUCAGCUCCUUUAGUGGUACUCGCAAUAGCAUCAACUGCGGACCCUUAGUUAGAGACACAACUUAUCACCAUUUGACUUCUCCUUUACUUAUUAUACAGUUAACAGGACAUUUUAUUUAGCUAUUAGACUAUCUUGGUACUCCUAUUUGAAAAGAAGCGUUCCGUCCAAUGACUUUUUCAAUAAAAUACGGUUCUCACCUUCUCCUUUUCCGUUGACUACCCUAUUACCUUUUUCACGGGAAGGUCGAGGUAAAGACUCCGACACUUUCUCGGGGACACGCUGCUAAGGUAAUAUCAAGAAUGAGUUUCCACUUUACAAAUUAUAAUGAGUCGCAUCAAAAGUGUCUUAUGAAUCUCUUUUUAUGAAACUGGGUCUCACUCUGUCAACCCAGAGCUAGAAUGCAGUGGCAUGAUUAUGGCUCACUACCGCCUCAAGAUCCUGACCUCAAGCAAUAUUCUCACCUCAACUUCCUGAACAGCUGGAACUACAAGGUGCAUACCAUCACAUGCUGGGCUAACGUCUUGAUGGUUACUUUUGUAGAGACAGAGUCUCAUUCAAUUGCCCGGGCUGGUCUCAAACUCCUAAGGUGAAGGAAUAAAAUUGGGGAGGUAUGGCCCAUUAAAACGAAGAAAAAAAUUAAUAAUUCACAAAAUUACAUAUUUCUCAUCUGAACCGAAAAUCUUAUCUAAGAAACUUUGAAUCCAUAUAUAUCUAUUAUAGAUUAAUUAUGUAUUAAAUAUUAAUAUUAAUAUUACAUACUAAUUGAUAUUAAAUAUAUAUGUAAAUAUAUUUUUUAUAUUUUAUUCUCUAUACUUUCAUAUUAUAUAACUCCAACU